UUAAAUUAAAGAUCAAAUGCAAUUUCUACUCAUUUAUCCGAAGUGAAUCCCCGAUGCUCUAGUGUUCGUCUCAAUCGUAUUUCCACCAACCGUUCAUUACUCAUAGAAUAGUUUAUUUCCUUCCAAUUCCCUGUGGUUCGACCUCGGACUUCCGAGAUUUACUACUUGCAACAACCUGCACUUGGGUUUGCAACCUUAAAGUUGUAGCAA
rnacentral:lncRNA from 1 species